rnacentral:rRNA from 1 species
AGUGAACGCUGGCGGUAGGCCUAACACAUGCAAGUCGAACGGCAGCACAGUAAGAGCUUGCCCUUACGGGUGGCGAGUGGCGGACGGGUGAGGAAUACAUCGGAAUCUACAUUUUCGUGGGGGAUAACGUAGGGAAACUUACGCUAAUACCGCAUACGACCUACGGGUGAAAGCAGGGGAUAUUCGGACCUUGCGCGAUUGAAUGAGCCGAUGUCGUAUUAGCUAGUUGGGGGGGUUAAGGCCCACCAAGGCGACGAUACGUAGCUGGUCUGUGAGGAUGAUCACCCACCUUGGAACUGAGACACCGUCCAGACUCCUACGAGACGCAGCAGUGGGGAAUGUUAGACAAUGGUCGCAAGCCUGGUCCAGCCAUACCGCGUGGGUUAAGAAGGCCUUCGGGUUGUAAAGCCCUUUUGUUGGGAAAGAAAAGCAGCGGGUUAAUACCCCGCUGUUCUGACGGUACCCAAAGAAUAAGCACCGGCUAACUUCGUG